rnacentral:rRNA from 1 species
UACGUAGGGGGCUAGCGUUGUCCGGAAUCAUUGGGCGUAAAGCGCGUGUAGGCGGUCCGGUAAGUCCGCUGUGAAAGUCGGGGGCUCAACCCUCGAAUGCCGGUGGAUACUGUCGGGCUGGAGUCCGGAAGAGGCGAGUGGAAUUCCUGGUGUAGCGGUGAAAUGCGCAGAUAUCAGGAGGAACACCAGUGGCGAAGGCGGCU